CGUGGGAGCGAGCUUGCUCGCGAUAGCGGUGUAUCAGGUAACAGUAAUGUUGAAUGUACCCUCAUCGCGAGCAAGCUCGCUCCCACA
rnacentral:misc_RNA from 1 species